UACAGAGGUCCCGAGCGUUGUUCGGAUUCAUUGGGCGUAAAGCGCGCGUAGGCGGCUUUGUAAGUUAGAGGUGAAAGCCCGGGGCUCAACUCCGGAAUUGCCUUUAAGACUGCAUCGCUAGAAUCAUGGAGAGGUUAGUGGAAUUCCGAGUGUAGAGGUGAAAUUCGUAGAUAUUCGGAAGAACACCAGUGGCGAAGGCGACUAACUGGACAUGUAUUGACGCUGAGGCACGAAGGUCAGGGGAGCAAACGGG
rnacentral:rRNA from 1 species